GGCCAUAUGUUGUUGAUUUAGGAAAUGUCACAUGAUUUUUUUUAUAUUUUGAUUCCUUUUAAUCUUAUUCAUUCGGUGCUUGCUUAUGACCACCAAUUGAAUUAUUGAGAUAAGCUGUAAACAAUAAUAUAAAUAAGAAAAUCGAGAGUCAUCAAAAUUGUCAUCCCUAGCUUAGGAUUGAACUAUAAAGGUCUAAUUGAAUUUUCAUGAA
rnacentral:lncRNA from 1 species